rnacentral:rRNA from 1 species
GGUUAAGCGACUAAGCGUACACGGUGGAUGCCCUGGCAGUCAGAGGCGAUGAAGGACGUGCUAAUCUGCGAUAAGCGCCGGUAAGGUGAUAUGAACCGUUAUAACCGGCGAUUUCCGAAUGGGGAAACCCAGUGUGACUCGUCACACUAUCAUUAACUGAAUCCAUAGGUUAAUGAGGCGAACCGGGGGAACUGAAACAUCUAAGUACCCCGAGGAAAAGAAAUCAACCGAGAUUCCCCCAGUAGCGGCGAGCGAACGGGGAGGAGCCCAGAGCCUGAAUCAGCAUGUGUGUUAGUGGAAGCGUCUGGAAAGGCGCGCGAUACAGGGUGACAGCCCCGUACACAAAAGCGCAUGUGCUGUGAGCUCGAUGAGUAGGGCGGGACACGUGGUAUCCUGUCUGAAUAUGGGGGGACCAUCCUCCAAGGCUAAAUACUCCUGACUGACCGAUAGUGAACCAGUACCGUGAGGGAAAGGCGAAAAGAACCCCGGCGAGGGGAGUGAAAAAGAACCUGAAACCGUGUACGUACAAGCAGUGGGAGCACCCUUUGGGGUGUGACUGCGUACCUUUUGUAUAAUGGGUCAGCGACUUAUAUUCUGUAGCAAGGUUAACCGAAUAGGGGAGCCGGAGGGAAACC